UCCGGUUUGUCACCGGCAGUCUCAUUAGAGUGCCCAACUGAAUGUAGCAACUAAUGACAAGGGUUGCGCUCGUUGCGGGACUUAACCCAACAUCUCACGACACGAGCUGACGACGGCCAUGCAGCACCUGUGUUCUGGUUCUCUUUCGAGCACUCCCGCAUCUCUGCAGGAUCCCAGACAUGUCAAGGGUAGGUAAGGUUUUUCGCGUUGCAUCGAAUUAAACCACAUCAUCCACCGCUUGUGCGGGUCCCCGUCAAUUCCUUUGAGUUUUAGCCUUGCGGCCGUACUCCCCAGGCGGGGCACUUAAUGCGUUAGCUACGGUACGGAGAACGUGGAAUGUCCCCCACACCUAGUGCCCAACGUUUACGGCAUGGACUAC
rnacentral:misc_RNA from 1 species